rnacentral:misc_RNA from 1 species
CAAACGAAAGGCAUGACCUCAAAACUGUAGAUUUUUUUUUUCUCCUCCUUUUUUUGUGUGUCAGUUUGAUCUUCUUAACCAAAACCCAGCAUAUUUCUUUGUUUUUUUUUUUUUUGAGCGAGUAUUCUUCAUUUUCUUGCUUUCUUCCUCUCUUGAUGAUCUUCAUUUCUCGAUUCUCUUGUUCUCUUCCUCUCUUGGUGACCAUCAUUUCUUGAUUUUCUUGAUCAAAUAGUUGUUCAUUGGAUGGCCAAUGACAUGAAGCUGAAGGCUAACUGAUAGAUAUUGACAUUUGGUAGCUAUUUGAUGCCCAACUUUUUCAACAACCAGAAAUCUAUUAAUUUCCCAACUCAAUUAUUAGAGUUUAAAUUUGCAAGGUGGAUGAGAAAUCAGCAGACAAGUACCAUCCUCCCAUUUGUUUAAGGAAAAUUGGUAACCCAAAUGGAUAGAAGUGUUAACAGUACUCUGUUUCCAUUUCAUGAGAAAUUGAAUUUUUUUAAGAUUAGAAAGUGAUUUUUUUAUUAUUUUUUUUAUAUCAUUGGCGGAAUUAAUAUACUAUUACUUUUGUUACUGCUAGUAAUAUUUUCAACCCCUUGAUCUUAUAGGGAGCUUAGAACAAACUUUGUUCCAGUCAAGAAUGAACAUACAAUAUUAUCUCCUCCUCUGCCUCUUAAAUCUUGCUUAUUUGCUUGCUCUUGCUGGAGGGAAGAAUACACUUCAGCUUUCUACCAAAUUUAGUAGGAGUAGUUUUCCUGAUGGUUUUGUGUUUGGAGCAGGAUCAAGUUCAUACCAGUAUGAAGGAGCAACGGAACUAGAUGGCAGGAGACCAAGUAUAUGGGAUACUUUCACUAAGGAACAUCCAGGUCUCUUGCUCUCUCCAACUCUCUGAAAAUGCUUAGUUUUUACUGUUAUGAUAUGGCUUGUAAUUUAGAUAUGAUUUUUAUUGGGAAUGAAUUAUGACUUAAGCUGAGAAGCAUAUGGUGCUAUCCAAAUGGGAUACUUUUUGAGGGUUGUGGUGGUAACAGAGAGAUAGGAGCCCACCAAUGACGCUGGGGUGCAGGGGACAAUGCUACCGUAAUAUAAACCAGUAUAAAUAUUGAAUUUUGUCUAUGGCAGCAGUAUGAAUUUUUGGGAAACCUAGUGUGGGAAUGCGGAAGAAUCGAAUUCAAUAAAUGUCAAACAUUUUCAUUUUCUUUUAUAUGAAUUGAAACUUGGUCCUUCAAUGAUUUUAUUGACCCCAACAAGUAAUUUUUCAUAUACAAAUUUAUUGUUUCUAAGACAGUUUCUGAUCUCAUGACAGAAAAAAUUGCAGACCAUAGUAAUGGGAAAGUUGCUGAGGAUUUCUACCAUCUUUAUGAGGUCUUACCUUACUGAAAUAAAGUUCAUGUGGUCUUUCUCUGCAAUUUUCUCCCAUUCAUGAAUGUAUAAUUGAGAAAUGUUAUGUACAGGGAGACAUUUCUAUUUUGAAAGAAAUUGGUUUAGACUCCUAUAGAUUCUCGAUUUCGUGGCCAAGAAUAUUGCCUGGUAUUCAUGCUUGAGAAAUCUUUUUGCUUAAACUUUUUAUGUCUAAAUCUUUUAUUGAAUGCAUCAAUGUUGAUUCUAAAUGGAGCUUUUUCUCCUUAAGAGGGAAAACUUAGCACUGGAGUGAACUGGGAAGGAGUCAAGUUCUACAAUUCUCUAAUCAGUGAUCUGCUUUCUAAUGGUAAAAUUCUGAUCCCCUUUCAAUGUGAAAUUCCUCUUUCUAAUACCCUCUAUCUUGGUCAGGUAUACAGCCCCUUGUGACCCUGUUCCACUGGGAUGUUCCACAGGCACUUGAAGAUGAGUA